rnacentral:snoRNA from 1 species
CAGACCAAUGAUGAUAGCUGUUAUGAACCAAAGAUUGUGACGAAUUCAACGUUGUGGAUCUCGU